AUUGACAAAUUAAGCGUAAAAGAGCCUUGGUGAUUUGUUCAAGGUUUCAUAUAAGUUGAGCACAGAGUAUUCAUUAUCCUGAGGCCGAGAAUUUCUGGAUGAAUGUGGUUAAAUCACUGGAACAAUAAAGCAAGACAGUUAAGAAAAGCACCUGGCACAAACUAUUCUACUUCUACUGUUCAUCGGUUGAAAUGGUCAUCAAAAUGUAAUAAGUUGAUCGAAGACUCUCAGAUAUUACUUUAGAAUAUAUUCCUUUUAUGAAAGCUGCAUCUGUAUUUGACUUGGUAAGAUAAUAAAUUCAAGAAAAGCCCAACUGGGACCUCUAACAUACUCUUCUACAAUAUAUGAAUUUUAUACUAAAUAAGACUAUAAUAUUCUCCUCUACAAGUGGAAACCACAUCCCCAUAGGAAAUCGAGAUGCUAAACUAUUAAUAGUUUACCCAGGUUUUCUCUGCCUACCAUGGAACCUUAAACUUCAUCACAGCCUAAGCACUGUAAAACAUUAUAAUUUAUGUUCAUAUAAAUGAAACUCUCUAGACAUUCUUCAUCUUGUCUACUACUUAAUGUUUCUGAUGUUUUUAAGACAGAGAAGUUCUCUGCAUUCAACCUGAGAAAAGACAAUGUCAAAAUAAAUUUAUAUAUCAAAUAAAUACUGUCAGAAGCAUUGCUAUAAGUCUGGUAAUGUUUUAAAAUGUUGUGCCAGUAA
rnacentral:lncRNA from 1 species